rnacentral:lncRNA from 1 species
CGAAAUCAAGGAGUUGAUGGUGAUGCGGGAACACGAUUUAGACAGGUUCGGACCGCUAGAUCGCGUAAUACCCUACGUCCGGUGUAUUGUAUCCUUGUAUUCGAUUGAACUUGUCUUGAGGGGGCCCCUGCCCACCCUUAUAUAUCGGGGGAGUAGGGUUACAGGGUAGUCUUUGAUAUAAGAGCACUAGUCGGAUACGACUACAAAGUCCUACUCUAACUCGACAGAGUAGUUUCCUUUAUUCCAACUAGUCCUUCAGGAGUUCCAAGUAGUCUACGUUGCCCUAUAGCGUAGUCUUCAUAUCCUGAUAUGUCUCGAGUACGUCCCCUUGAGUGGGUCCGUAUAGAUCUUUUGGUGAGCCCGGGGAUGUAUGGUCGACAAGCGCCCAAGUACUUUGUAGUCAAAUGAAACAGUUUCGACUACUCAGCAGACGUUGCUCGAUUAGUCUUUGGUGCUCGUUGAGUACUUCUGUCGUGGCUAGUCUUCGAGUACCUAAAUACUGUCAUGCGGCUGGAAGGUACUCCUGCCCCAUUCUAACAUUGGUUUUGAUUAGUUUUAAGUCUUUAUAUGGAAGUGCGAUGAAAAUUGCACUCCAUAUAGAGUAGCCCCCGAGCCUUAGGUUGAAUCAUAGAAUCAGGCUGAG